rnacentral:rRNA from 1 species
UACGUAGGGGGCAAGCGUUGUCCGGAAUCAUUGGGCGUAAAGCGCGCGUAGGCGGCCCGGUAAGUCCGCUGUAAAAGUCCAGGGCUCAACCCUGGGAUGCCGGUGGAUACUGUCGAGCUCGAGUCCGGAAGAGGCGAGUGGAAUUCCUGGUGUAGCGGUGAAAUGCGCAGAUAUCAGGAGGAACACCAAUGGCGAAGGCAGCUCGCUGGGACGUGACUGACGCUGAGACGCGAAAGCGUGGGGAGCAAACAGG